UUCCCAUGGACGAAAGUCUGAUGGAGCACUGCCGCGUGAGUGAAGAAGGUUUUCGGAUCGUACAACUCUGUUGUUGAAGAAGAACAUGCCUGAGAGUAACUGUUCAGGUAUUGACGGUAUUCAACCAGAAAGCCACGGCUAACUACGUGCCAGCAGCCGCGGUAAUA
rnacentral:rRNA from 1 species